UACGUAGGGGGGCAAGCGUUGUCCGGAAUCAUUGGGCGUAAAGAGCGUGUAGGCGGCCCGGUAAGUCCGCUGUGAAAGUCCAGGGCUCAACCCUGGGAUGCCGGUGGAUACUGUCGGGCUCGAGUCCGGAAGAGGCGAGUGGAAUUCCUGGUGUAGCGGUGAAAUGCGCAGAUAUCAGGAGGAACACCGGUGGCGAAGGCGGUUCUCUGGGCCUGUACUGACGCUGGAGGAACGAAAGCGUGGGGAGCGAACAGG
rnacentral:rRNA from 1 species